CUUCCCCUUCGUUGCGAAGGUUUCGUCCGCUCAGAGAAGUGCCCAUUUUCAGUCCGUUUCGAACCAGCUGGUUGGGGGGCAGCCAUGGAAGAUCUGCAUUCAUUGUUAGACAUGCGUGGGGGGCCGUCGAUUUUUGUUUGGGAGGUGCGCUGCAAAUCCAGCCGCACUUUUAGUCUUUGUCUCACAGAUUUGUGGUCGGGAUAUUUCUCAUCCUUUCUACAGCCUUCGACUCAGACUUCCAUCUUUCUUGCUUGCGAAUUUUUGCAUCCUUUGUCUUCAGGUUCUUGGGUAAUCCCUAAUGCUAUAUAAGAGGAGCUGAGGUUCUUGGGUAAUCCCUAAUGCUAUAUAGGAGGAGCUGAGGUAUUUAUAUUUCACAACAUAUUGGGUUCUAUCAGGAAGGGGAUUGAAUCUCACAGAUUAGCUCAGCUUAAAUACACCAAAAGGCAAGGGACUAGACAUUUGCAUUCUGCUGUCAUUUUCGAGGGUCAAGACCUCCAUCAAAGAGAAGAAAAAUCAUGAAGAAAUUGCAAAACAAAACUCGCCCAAUUAAACAGCAUGCUGCUCAAAACUAUCCAAAUUUUGCUAUUUUGAUGGCUACUUCCCACUAUUAACAUCUCAAUGUAUAUACAAACAAGUCUACUAUUUUAACGUAACAAGUAGCCUGUAAAAUAUGUUAUUACUUACUUUUUUGCAACUUAUACUCCCUUAGUUAAACAUAAUGCUGUAAGUUAAAUCUCAUUGUAUAUAUAAACAAUCUUACUUUGUCUACGCAAUUUCAAAACCCGCAGCAUCGCGCGGGCUUUUCUGCUA